UAUCAAUUCUAUAUUCACAUCCAAUUAAUCUCAGUUAAUCACAACAAAAUCAAUUAAUAUCCAUAAGCUAAGAUUUGCAUGAAACUUAAAAGGGGAUUAGGUUUUUAUUACUUGUGACUAUUGAAAUUAAGAGUCUCAGCUCUCCCUCUCUGCUCAAUCUCAGCGGCGGCCGGAUCCUCUUCUCCGAUCGGAGUUCUAACGACGCCACCGUGAAUGUAUCGACCAUCCUCCUACGUCUCAACUUCCCUACACGAUUCCUCUCGUUUUACUCUCAAACAGUUGUUCUCUCGAUCACCUAUGGCGGCGACGGCGGCCGGAUUCAUCUCACUUUCUCUCUGGUGUCUUUCGCACUUCCUCUUCUCCGACUACUUCCGACUUCAUCUUUCAUAGACCGCUUCUCAUCUCGAUUUAUUUCUGUCGGAGGCGCUAUGAACUUGUUGAUGAUGGAGAAAGAAAUCCGAAUAACAAUCCACGAAUUCAGUGACGUUGCAAUUGUUGAAUCACGUGGAUAUUCGUUGAACAUUGCCGAUUGAAGAUGAUGAUUGAAGGUUAUAGGUUCUUGCGGUUUCAAAGCAGGAAGACGAAGAUGAAUACGAUGCCGUUUAGAUGUUGUUACGGCGUUGAUGCGAAGCAAUUCAGAGAGAAUUCCGAGAGUGAUUUUUCUGAGUUUUUGACGGAGAACUGAGUGAGUUUGAUUGAAUGUGACGAACACGCUUCAGAGGGAGAGAAAGAGAGUUUGUUACAUUUUUCUUGUUUUCAUUUUCUGUUAUGCAGGCGAGUCCUUUUCUGAUUUUUGGUUAUCUUCUUUUUUGUGAAUUUUCUCAGUUUCUGCUACAGGUUUUUGUUGAAGAUUGAAGGAGAUCAUGAUUUUGUGAAAUAGAUGAAGAAUAUGGAUGAAGAGGUGGAGAUUGAAGAGAGUAUCUGUUGAUUUACGUGAGAUGAUUUUGUUCUCCUCUCCUUUGUUGCAGAGAAUCGAAGAAUGAAGUGAGCGUUUCCGUUAUGAUGUGGUAUUUGGUUUACAAUAUGCAGAACCGGUCUUGGCUUGGUGCGACGAACAUGAUAUGGCUUGUAACUUGAAGAUGGCAAAGAAUUGGAUCGAGAAUUGGCAUAGCACGAAGAUUAGCGCAUGGGCUUGGGGACAAUUUUGAUGUAAUUUUUUAUGGUUUUGUAAAUGGGCUUUUGUAAUUUAGAUAUGUAUGGACUUUUGAAUAUUUUCUUGUAAUGAACAUGGACUUGGAUUUUAGUAAAGGGAUUUGAAAUGAAUAUAUGGACACUUGAACAAUUGAGUGAUUGUUUGAAAUGGAACAUUGUUGACUAAUGACAUUUCUUUUUCAUUUUGAAUGAACUUGAUGAAUCUUGAGAUCAUGUCUUACAACCUUGAAUCACGUUGAACUUUGCUUUUGUAACAUGAACUCCAAAUAAUUCAUACUUCAAUCCGAUUAAGCACGAACCUUAAGAACUCCCGCCCCCAAGUAAUCACUAAUGAACUGAAUCCUCAAUCUAAUGAAAGUUGGUCCUUGAUUCUCCAACCAUCAAUGGUUUACAUUUCGACCAACCAAUCAACUUGAA